CUAAGACCUUCAUUAGUUCCAGGAUCUUCUGCACUGGAUCUUGUAAAAAAGAAGUUGAUGGAUUUUGGUACUCCGCUUGCUGUUUCUUCACCAGCCCCAGCCUCGUCAGGAGUAAUAUCAUCUGAAGUAAAUGGAUCAAAAGCACUUGAAUCUACAACCAGAAUUCCACAAAAAGAAAAUAGCAAAGAGAAGUCAAAAGAAG
rnacentral:misc_RNA from 1 species